rnacentral:rRNA from 1 species
UCCUGUCCUUCUUUCUAUUGAAUGCAACAGUUCCUGAUGGAUCACUGAAGUUAAACUUUGCGCGUGGUUGGUAUUUGGAUGGGUGACCAUCUGGGCAAUCACGUACUGCUGGCU